rnacentral:rRNA from 1 species
UUCAAUUCUAAAACGCCGUUUUAAAACUAAAACGCACUAGUGUAAACGGGGCCUAAAGCUAAGCAGGGCUGAGCCUGUUCAGUACCUGGAUGGGAGACCACAUGGGAAAACUAGAUUUCUGUUGAAA